rnacentral:rRNA from 1 species
UAAAUGAAGAGAGUUGGAAAGCUCCGCCAUAGAAGGUAAUAGCCCUGUAGUUGAAACGAGAAAGCUACUAGUAUGAUCCAGAGUACCACGGGACACGUGAAACCCUGUGGGAAGCAGGAGGGACCAUCCUCCAAGCCUAAAUACUACCUAGUGACCGAUAGCGCAUAGUACCGUGAGGGAAAGGUGAAAAGAACCCCGGGAGGGGAGUGAAAUAGAACCUGAAACCCUGCACUUACAAGCUGUGGGAGCACAUUACUUGUGUGACCGCGUACUUUUUGUAGAACGGGCCAACGAGUUACGUUAAGUAGCAAGGUUAAGCACUUAAGGUGUGGAGCCGUAGCGAAAGCGAGUCUUAAAUGGGCGAUUAAGUUACUUGGCGUAGACCCGAAACCGGGCGACCUAUCCAUGAGCAGGUUGAAGCGAAAGUAAAAUUUCGUGGAGGACCGAACCCACGAGCGUUGAAAAGCUCGGGGAUGACUUGUGGAUAGCGGUGAAAUUCCAAUCGAGCCCGGAGAUAGCUGGUUCUCCCCGAAAUAGCUUUAGGGCUAGCCUCAAGCGUAGAGAAACGGAGGUAGAGCACUGAAUGUCCUAGGGGG